GAUACAUAAGACUGGAUUUCAACUCGGCUGAUGGAAAUCAAAAGGAUAGAGAAUCUGAUUUUACACCAAAGAAAUUGUAGCCAGUUGAGCUUAAGGUUGGUGUAACUUCACUCGGGCAGCUUUGUGAAACGACACCUAUCUCUGUGAAAAACGAUUCUCAUUUCGUGCAUUUUCUUCAAUAUUGUGUUUUCCAUCAAUGCGUUUUAUAAUCAGAUUUAUAAGAUUUUCGUCGUCUUGCAUCACAGUCAUGGCAUUGACUGAAACUAUGAAUUAAUAAUAUAUCUAUUUAGAAGAUUUUAGUAUUAUUAUUAGUGUUGUUGACAGAAACGUCUGUUUUGGGAAAUAAAAAAAAAUGACAUUUUCAGCAUCCCAUUUUAUGUAACGAGAUCGUUCAGAGCCAGACAUAUUAUUUUUUAGACCUCCCAGGAUAUGUACACAGAGACUGAAGUCUUGGUUCCUCUCUAUCGUAUUGGCAAUAGGUAAAGUAUUAAGAAUGAAGGAAUGGUUGAUUUAAUUUUUGCUCUUCAUUGUUGUAAGCACAUACUUUUUUAGUGGAAAUAUUAGAACUCUAAUCAUUAGAGUUGUAAUUUUCAAGUCAGUUGCAAAUUAUGUUGUUUGUUGAAAAUUAAUGGCGACCAGUCAUAUUUGACUAUUACUGCCAACUUGUUAGGCCUUAAGGGAGGCCUAACGAGUAUAAAAUGCAGGACCCUCUUAAGGGAGGGUUCUGCAUUUUAUACAUGUAGGAAGAAACACCAUGCACGGUCAAGACAAGUAGCAAAUGAGGUUCAAUAGGAAGGGUCUAUACUUUUUAAUAUUUCUUGUUUAUUUUCAUCAAACAUUCCAUGUGCAUUGUAUAAAAAAAGCUCAUUAAAACUGACUUUUAGUUGUUUUCUGUACUUUUCGAAACAGGCGAAACCUAACGCAUGGAGGUGUGUUUUAAUGUUAUGUCCGACUACUGAUGUAUCUUGCGGGUUGUUAUUUCAUGUAAAUGUGUACUAUUUAUUGUAUCGAGAUAUAGCAAAGUAGAGUUGCUUUAAUGUACAUUUGGACAUAUCAACAAAGAUUUGCACUAUUGAUUUUUGUAAUUGCCCUGUUUUGAAGAAAAUACAAACCCUGUAUUUAAGCAU